rnacentral:lncRNA from 1 species
UCAACCAUAGCUAUUACUAGAUCUCUCAAAUAUAUCAACAUGAUUAACUCUCUUAAUUAGCUAGCUAGCUAGCUAUUCAAAUUAAAAGCCAAUUAGGAUUGAAAUGAUUCUAAUUAAUUAGAUACUUAACACAGUAUGUGAUUAUAAUAGCUAAUUAUAUAUCUUAAACAUAUGCAUUAUGUGAUCUAGCAUUCGACGACACAGCCUCUUCCCAGUUGAGGCCUUGGAGUGUGGCGAUUAUUCGCCCCGGAACCUGGAUAAUCGUUGAUCUCUUCAUCCUCCAUAUUUGCCUAACAAUUUUAAAUUUAGAAUUUUUCCAUCAGACUACUGAGUACUCCUAAUGGAAAAUAGGAAGAUAGAUCAUAAGGUUUCCAUAGGCAAAUUAAAGAUGGAGAAGUGCGCACCAUAUGGGUAUUCUCUAACACCUUAUGCUCUUGAGAUACGUCCAUUACCAGUCUUGUGCUUCCUGUUUCAAUACAGAUCACGUGUGGUAAAUGUACACACACACACAUAUAUAUACAUAAAACAAAGGUCCAAAUACUCCCCUUACUAAAAGAAAAUAGAUUAAUAUUGAUUACAUUUGUUACGUUAAUAAUUACUUUAUCAAACAAUCUAGUAUUUUCCUUGACUUUAACAAAUCUCCAACAUUAAACUGGUAGAGAUUCUUAGAAAAAGAUCCAAACUUGUAGAAAAUCACCUUUGUAAUUUUGCUAGGGUUAAGAGGAAAUACGAAAUCAUGAUUUAACGUAGCAAUGUCAUGAUUAUGAAUGUAGGAAGACUUUCAAAAUAUAAUGGAGGGUAAAACCGAGAUAUUCCCGUGCAAGAAAGCAUAAAAGAAAGAAGUUGUGUUCACUGUUGAGUAUAAAGAGAAGGGUUGAAAGAUAAACUUAC